AUCCAUUGCUCUCGUCUACCGUCUGCAUAGUGCUAGUCAUCGCCCGUCGUCGUCGAAACUCUACGGUAUGUAACAUUUGAUUUAGGUCGUUGUCUUCCACUUUUAGUGUCUGCAAUGUUAAUAUGUUAACGUUUUCUCCCAGUUUUUUGAAUGUUGAUUUAGGUAUUAUUCAUUCCUGUAAGUAACUGUGUUUACCAAUUUAGGAUUUUUUGGUUUAGGGAUUUCUAAUUUAGGAAUUUGCUUUAUGAUUUAGUGUCUUGGGAUUUGAAAAUUUUGAAGAUUUCUAUGGUUUAUCACAUGAUUGAAAUUUUUGAGUGAUUAUUAGUGUGAUAAACUCUUUAGAAUUGGAUAAAAUCCUAUAUUAAUUUUUGUGAUUACUGCAUGGAUGAAUUGUGUCUUUUUGGUUACUGACCUCAUGAUCAAUGGACAUCAAUGCAAAUAGCAGAAACUCUUUUAUUCUUAAAAUUAUUUAUAGAUACUGAGGAUAGUGACCACUUUUUUUAACUCCCAUAUACAGGUUCUAGAAGGUGUUAUCGAGUAUAGAUGGAAUGCUUUGCCUGUUGAACAACGAGAUGGCAUGAAAAACUAUGUUUCUGAAGUUAUAGUUAAGGUAUGAUCUCCCCAAUUUUGGUGGGGAAAAUUGAAUGAUAUGUGCUCUCUGUUGCAUAUUUAUUGAAGAGUAUGAAUUCUCAACUUUUUCCAUUACUUGAUCUGUGCAGCUGCAAAAACAAGUGACGAGAUCUCUAUAUGUGAGAAUUGCAUGGCUACACUGAAAGUGAGGCAGUAAUCCCAUAUAUCCUUGGUUUUUUGGGAAUAUGUACAUGCAGUUGACAUAGAUGUUACUUGUCAGCUUCUAAGUGAAGAGGUCUUUGACUUUUCAAGAGGUGAAAUGACUCAGUGGAAGAUUAAAGAGUUGAAACAAUCACUAAACAGGUUACAAUUUAGUUGAUGAUGAUGCUGGACGAAUAGCUGCUUCUAAGCAUAGGGCUUUGUGAUUGGCCUAUAAUAGACCGAAACAAAGGGCCAUUUAGUUCACAAUUUGAAUUGUUGCUGUUCAAUGUUUGAUAGUAUCAUAAUGGACAAAGAAUGGCUGC
rnacentral:lncRNA from 1 species